UUGCGAGACCGAUUAGCGAACAAGUACCGUGCAGGGAAAGAUGAAAAGAACUUUGAAAAGAGAGUUAAAGAGUACCUGAAACUGCUGAAAGGGAACCGAAUCGUUUCCAGUGUCUAUAAUCCAUGGUAUAUUUCAUUGGCGUGUGAGUGUGUGCAGCGUUUUGGAAGCGGUCUCCGCUCCUGUCGUUGUUGUGCAUUUGCUUGCUGGUGCCCUGUGCUGUGGUGGGACGUCAGAGUCAGUUUGUAUGUUGCGGGAAAUGGUUAUCAGGGAGGUAGGUCGCUUCGGUGGCUGUUAUAUCCUGGUAACUAGUCGUCGUGGCUGAGACUGAGGUGCCUACAACGCGCUUUCGAGUCUGCGGGCUUCUCGUGUGGCUGUUUGCUUUGAUAGCUUGCUAUGUUGGUGAAUAAGUCGUGCGAUUGAGACCUGUAGUAACUUGUUGCUGUUCGGGACUUUGAA
rnacentral:rRNA from 2 species